UUAAUAGUAUUAUUAACAUACAGUGCAUAAAAUCAGUUGGAGUAGCAGAAGCAAUGUAGAUAAAAAAUCUGCAGGAAUAACGUUUCAAAGCUUUCCAGAAGAUCCUGCGAAGAAGGCAUGAAGUAUUGAUCAGAUUUGUUAAUAGAGCAGUAUGUUCAAAACAUUUUUUAGAAAAAGA
rnacentral:lncRNA from 1 species